CUACCUAACCUAGCGGCGGACGGGUGAGUAAUGCUUAGGAAUCUGCCUAUUAGUGGGGGACAACAUCUCGAAAGGGAUGCUAAUACCGCAUACGUCCUACGGGAGAAAGCAGGGGACCUUCGGGCCUUGCGCUAAUAGAUGAGCCUAAGUCGGAUUAGCUAGUUGGUGGGGUAAAGGCCUACCAAGGCGACGAUCUGUAGCGGGUCUGAGAGGAUGAUCCGCCACACUGGGACUGAGACACGGCCCAGACUCCUACGGGAGGCAGCAGUGGGGAAUAUUGGACAAUGGGGGGAACCCUGAUCCAGCCAUGCCGCGUGUGUGAAGAAGGCCUUUUGGUUGUAAAGCACUUUAAGCGAGGAGGAGGCUACCGAGAUUAAUACUCUUGGAUAGUGGACGUUACUCGCAGAAUAAGCACCGGCUAACUCUGUGCCAGCAGCCGCGGUAAUACAGAGGGUGCAAGCGUUAAUCGGAUUUACUGGGCGUAAAGCGCGCGUAGGUGGCCAAUUAAGUCAAAUGUGAAAUCCCCGAGCUUAACUUGGGAAUUGCAUUCGAUACUGGUUGGCUAGAGUAUGGGAGAGGAUGGUAGAAUUCCAGGUGUAGCGGUGAAAUGCGUAGAGAUCUGGAGGAAUACCGAUGGCGAAGGCAGCCAUCUGGCCUAAUACUGACACUGAGGUGCGAAAGCAUGGGGAGCAAACAGGAUUAGAUACCCUGGUAGUCCAUGCCGUAAACGAUGUCUACUAGCCGUUGGGGCCUUUGAGGCUUUAGUGGCGCAGCUAACGCGAUAAGUAGACCGCCUGGGGAGUACGGUCGCAAGACUAAAACUCAAAUGAAUUGACGGGGGCCCGCACAAGCGGUGGAGCAUGUGGUUUAAUUCGAUGCAACGCGAAGAACCUUACCUGGUCUUGACAUAGUAAGAACUUUCCAGAGAUGGAUUGGUGCCUUCGGGAACUUACAUACAGGUGCUGCAUGGCUGUCG
rnacentral:rRNA from 1 species